rnacentral:rRNA from 1 species
UGCGUAGGCGGAAUGAUAAGUUAGUGGUGAAAGCCCCCGGCUCAACCGGGGAACUGCCAUUAAUACUGUCAUUCUUGAGUAUAGUUGAAGUGGGUGGAAUGUAUCAUGUAGCGGUGAAAUGCUUAGAUAUGAUACAGAACACCGAUAGCGUAGGCAGCUUGCUAAACUAUAACUGACGCUCAGGCACGAAAGCGUGGGGAGCAAACAGGAUUAGAUACCCUGGUAGUCC